UACGUAGGGGGCAAGCGUUGUCCGGAAUUAUUGGGCGUAAAGCGCGUGUAGGCGGUCCACUAAGUCGGCUGUGAAAGCCCUGGGCUCAACCCAGGAAGUGCACUCGAAACUGCCAGGCUUGAAUAUGGAAGAGGGUCGCGGAAUUCCCGGUGUAGAGGUGAAAUUCGUAGAUAUCGGGAGGAACACCAGUGGCGAAGGCGGCGACCUGGGCCAAUAUUGACGCUGAGGUGCGAAAGCGUGGGGAGCAAACAGG
rnacentral:rRNA from 1 species